rnacentral:rRNA from 1 species
GUAAGCUACUAAGAGCAAAUGGUGGAUGCCUUGGCUAGUAGAGGCGAUGAAAGACGUGCCAGGCUGCGAUAAGUCUCGGGGAGCCGUCAAGGGGCUUUGAUCCGGGAAUUUCUGAAUGGGGCAACCCAGUAUAUAGUGAUAUAUACUACCGCAAUGCGGAGCUAACGUUGGGAAUUGAAACAUCUUAGUACCAACAGGAAAAGAAAUCAAAAGAGAUUACGCUAGUAGCGGCGAGCGAACGCGUAAGAGGGCAAACCGUUAGUUUACUAACGGGGUUGUAGGACUGCAACAUAGACUUGAACUAACUAAUAGAAUAACCUGGAAAGGUUGACCAUAGAGGGUGAUAGUCCCGUAUAUGAAAGUGCGUUCAUACUUAGCAGUAUCCUGAGUAGGGCGGGACACGUGAAAUCCUGUCUGAAGCUGGGGAGACCACUCUCCAACCCUAAAUACUACUACUAGACCGAUAGUGCACAAGUACCGUGAGGGAAAGGUGAAAAGAACUGAGGUGAUCAGAGUGAAAUAGAACCUGAAACCAUUUGCUUACAAUCAUUCAGAGCACGAUUCUUUAUGACGUGUGAUGGACUGCCUUUUGCAUAAUGAGCCUGCGAGUUGUGGUGUCUGGCGAGGUUAAGGAAACCCGGAGCCGUAGCGAAAGCGAGUCUUAAUAGGGCGUAUAGUCAGAUGCUGCAGACCCGAAACGAUGUGAUCUAUCCAUGAGCAGGUUGAAACUGGUGUAAGAGCCAGCGGAGGACCGAACAGACGGCCGUUGAAAAGGCUCCUGAUGACUUGUGGAUAGGGGUGAAAGGCCAAUCAAACAUCGUGAUAGCUGGUUCUCUCCGAAAUAUAUUUAGGUAUAGCGUUGUGUGAGCGGAUAGAAGUGAGCAUGCAGGCAUGAGUAGCGAUAAUCUAGGUGAGAAUCCUAGACGCCGAAAACCCAAGGUUUCCUACGCGAUGCUCGUCAUCGUAGGGUUAGUCGGGUCCUAAGCAAAGUCCGAAAGGGGUAUGCGAUGGAAAAUUGGUUAAUAUUCCAAUACCAAUUAUUAUGUGCGAUGGAAGGACGCUUAAAGUUAGUGGAGCUAGCGGAUGGAAGUGCUAGUCUAAGGGUGUAGGUUGAGUUAUAGGCAAAUCCGUAACUCUUUAUCCGAGACCUAAAAGGCUCAUGACGCUCUUCGGAGUAGAUUGAGAAUCCAUGAUACUAUCGAGCCAAGAAAAGUUUCUAAGUUUAGUAAUAAUUGCCCGUACCGUAAACCGACACAGGUGGGUGGGAUGAGUAUUCUAAGGCGCGUGGAAGAACUCUCUUUAAGGAACUCUGCAAAAUAGCACCGUAUCUUCGGUAUAAGGUGUGCCUAACUUUGUAUUAAGAUUCACUCCCAAAGCAAAGAAGGUUACAACAAAGAGUCCCUCCCGACUGUUUACCAUAAACACAGCACUCUGCUAACUCGUAAGAGGAUGUAUAGGGUGUGACGCCUGCCCGGUGCUCGAAGGUUAAUUGAUGAUGUUAGCUAUGCGAAGCAUUUGAUCGAAGCCCGAGUAAACGGCGGCCGUAACUAUAACGGUCCUAAGGUAGCGAAAUUCCUUGUCGGUUAAAUACCGACCUGCAUGAAUGGCGUAACGAGAUGGGAGCUGUCUCAAAGAGGGAUCCAGUGAAAUUGUAGUGGAGGUGAAAAUUCCUCCUACCCGCGGCAAGACGGAGAGACCCCGUGGACCUUUACUACAGCUUGACACUGCUAUUUGGAUAAAGAUGCGCAGGAUAGGUGGGAGGCUUUGAUCCAUAGACUCUGGUUUAUGGUGAGCCAUUGUUGAGAUACCACUCUUCUUUAUUUGGGUAGCUAACUAGCCUAAGUUAUCCUUAGGUAGGACAAUGUCUGGUGGGUAGUUUGACUGGGGCGGUCGCCUCCCAAAGUGUAACGGAGGCUUACAAAGGUUGGCUCAGAACGGUUGGAAAUCGUUCGUAGAGUAUAAAGGCAUAAGCCAGCUUAACUGCGAGACGUACAUGUCAAGCAGAGACGAAAGUCGGUCUUAGUGAUCCGGUGGUUCUGUGUGGAAGGGCCAUCGCUCAAAGGAUAAAAGGUACCCCGGGGAUAACAGGCUGAUCUCCCCCAAGAGCUCACAUCGACGGGGAGGUUUGGCACCUCGAUGUCGGCUCAUCGCAUCCUGGGGCUGGAGCAGGUCCCAAGGGUAUGGCUGUUCGCCAUUUAAAGCGGUACGCGAGCUGGGUUCAGAACGUCGUGAGACAGUUCGGUCCCUAUCUGCCGUGGGCGUAAGAAGAUUGAGGAGAGUUGACCCUAGUACGAGAGGACCGGGUCGAACUGGCCACUGGUGUACCAGUUGUUCUGCCAAGAGCAUCGCUGGGUAGCUAAGCCGGGAUGUGAUAAGAGCUGAAAGCAUCUAAGCUCGAAGCCAACUCCAAGAUGAAUCUUCUUUUAAGAGCUCUAGUAGACUACUAGUUUGAUAGGCUGGGUGUGUAAUGGAUGAAAGUCCUUUAGCUGACCAGUACUAAUAGCUCGUUUGCUUAUCUUUAUAUAAGCAUCACUUC